GAUGCCUAAAAAGCAUUGCAUAGCAAGGGCCGGGCAAGACCGGUGCCAGCCGCCGCGGUAACACCGGCGGCUCGAGUGGUAACCGUUAUUAUUGGGUCUAAAGGGUCUGUAGCCGGCCGGAUAAGUCUCUUGGGAAAUCUGGCAGCUUAACUGUCAGGCUUUCAGGAGAUACUGUCUGGCUCGAGGCCGGGAGAGGUGAGAGGUACUUCAGGGGUAGGGGUGAAAUCUUGUAAUCCUUGAAGGACCACCAGUGGCGAAGGCGUCUCACCAGAACGGACCUGACGGCAAGGGACGAAAGCUAGGGGCACGAACCGGAUUAGAUACCCGGGUAGUCCUAGCCGUAAACGAUACUCGCUAGGUGUCGGCCACGGUGCGACCGUUGUCAGUGCCGUAGGGAAGCCGUGAAGCGAGCCACCUGGGAAGUACGGCCGCAAGGCUGAAACUUAAAGGAAUUGGCGGGGGAGCACCACAACGGGUGGAGCUUGCGGUUUAAUUGGAUUCAACGCCGGAAAUCUUACCGGGACCGACAGCAAUAUGAAGGCCAGGCUGAAGACUUUGCCGGAUUAGCUGAGAGGUGGUGCAUGGCCGUCGUCAGUUCGUACUUUGAAGCAUAAUCACU
rnacentral:rRNA from 1 species